rnacentral:rRNA from 1 species
UACGAAGGGGGCUAGCGUUGUUCGGAAUUACUGGGCGUAAAGCGCGCGCAGGCGGCCUUUCAAGUCAGGGGUGAAAGCCCGGAGCUCAACUCCGGAAUUGCCUUUGAAACUGUCAGGCUCGAGUACGGGAGAGGUGAGUGGAAUUCCCAGUGUAGAGGUGAAAUUCGUAGAUAUCGGGAGGAACACCUGUGGCGAAAGCGGCUCACUGGACCACAACUGACGCUGAGGCGCGAAAGCUAGGGGAGCAAACAGG